CUCGGCAGCGGAUAUCUCGGCUCUCGCAUCGAUGAAGAACGUAGCGAAAUGCGAUACUUGGUGUGAAUUGCAGAAUCCCGUGAACCAUCGAGUCUUUGAACGCAAGUUGCGCCCGAAGCCAUUAGGCUGAGGGCACGUCUGCCUGGGCGUCACGC
rnacentral:rRNA from 1 species